UACAGAGGUCCCAAGCGUUGUUCGGAUUCAUUGGGCGUAAAGGGUGCGUAGGCGGUGCCGUAAGUCGGAUGUGAAAUCCCGGAGCUUAACUCCGGAACUGCAUUCGAUACUGCGGUGCUUGAGGACUGGAGAGGAGAUUGGAAUUCACGGUGUAGCAGUGAAAUGCGUAGAUAUCGUGAGGAAGACCAGUGGCGAAGGCGGAUCUCUGGACAGUUCCUGACGCUGAGGCACGAAGGCCAGGGGAGCAAACGGG
rnacentral:rRNA from 2 species